GGUUCGCAAAUGUUAUAACUUCAAUUCGUAAUGUAUACCUGUUAAAGAAAUGUAAGAAGUCAAUCCAGAAUCGCAAAAAUAUCAAAAACAAUUCUCAAGACUGGACAUGAAUCUCGGCAAAAUUACAUCGAUGUCGUGGGGGACUGGAAACAACCCACAUGGAACAACUGCUACGGAAAUGACGAACAACUAAGAAAAGAAAAUUUAGAAAGAAACAGCUUCAUCAUGAAAAGUCGAGAUAUGCAAGGACGGAAGAAAAUGAAGAGACGAAAGAAUCACGUCAUAGAGAAAAACAAAAAGCGAAGCAAAACACGUCAAGAUAAAGUCAAUAAUGCUUUUGCUGAAUUACGAGAAAUCUUGCCAACAUACCCUCCGGAUAAAAAACUUUCGAAAUGUCAAAUUUAAGAGUGGCUGUACGAUACAUUAAAUUGCUUGAAAAAGUUCUCGAUAUAUCAUACAAAGAAGAUGCUACAAUUAGCUAUCAACAAUCAAAAACCUGAUAACAUGACAAUCAUUCAAGAUCAUACGUCUGCAAGCAGAUGUUAAAAUAUGUAAGUUUAUGAUUGACGAAGGACAAAAUACCGGAUGCAUGAAUUUGCUGUUAAUGCAGCGCUCAUGCACAUUUGGUCCAUUGCCAUUUGUGUUUUCAAUAUAAAUUAUUAGAAAGGCAGUUUCUUUCACAAAGUCAAAUAUUUCUGUUAUUUUUAUAUAUGAAUAAACUUAGCAACUUUGUGGCGUUUUCAACCACGUCACUUGGGAAAAUCAAGAUAAAA